AUGUAUUUUUUGUUUGGAGUUUUUUGCUUUUUAUUUUUUUGCAUGUAUUUUUCUGUGUUUGGAGGUGGUUUUUUGGUUUGUUGUUUGUUGGGUUUUUUUUGCUUUUUUCUGUGUGCAUUUUUUGGUGUUUGGAGUUUCUUUUUAAUUUUUUUUUUUUACCUUUUUUGUGCGUGCAUUUUUUUCUGUUUGGCGUUUCUUUUUUUUCUUUUUUUCUUUUUUUUUUUUCUUCGUUUGUUUUGUCAUUUGUGGGUGCCGCUGCUCCCCAGGUGCCUCCUCUUUGGGGGGGGUUUCCCAUCGCGGUCGGGUUUUCCCGGGGGGGCGCGGUUGGAAGUCCCGGCCGGUUCCUGCCCGGGCCCCCCCCCCGGGGCCGGGAUUCCCGGGGCCCGGCGCCCCCCCGCGGCCGGCCCGGGUACGGCGGAUUCCGGGAAGCGCCUCUCGCCGCUCCUCCUGCGGGAAACCGAAACUCGGCCGGGGACAGGGAACGGGGGAUGGGGAGGCGAAGGAUCGGGGGGGCGGGGGGGUGGUGGUAAAGGGAUCAGCAGGGAAACCACUCGCCCCCGUCCCCAGCCUCCCGGUGUGCGCAGGGAACAGCUCGGGGAGGAAAAAGACAAGUUGGUUUUGUGCCCGAAAAAUGGAAAAAUAAUUAGUUUUGCAUUGUUACGGGGGGAAUGCACUGCGGAAAGCCCCGGUGGGGUGCUGAGGGCCUGCAGUGUGGCCGGAGGCCCAUCCCACCCCACCCACCGGGGUACACAGACAUCACAGCCCGCUCGCCCCGUGCGGCCCCUCUCCAUCCCCAGCACGGGAACCCCAAUUUUAUCCAGGCUUCAAAAAUGCUUCGUCAGGCCGGAGGAGCCCGCUGUCACCCCGGCGAGCGGCUUCCGAGCCUUGGCACCCGUCCCAAAGCGCCGUGACACCGCCGCUCGCCGGCCCACGCUGCGAGGGCAACUUCUGCAUUCCUCCCCGAUCCGUCAGCAAAACGGCGAGGAAAAGCAGCGAGCCGUCAUGUGCCUCCCACGGCAGAUUGGGGACAGCUGUCACACACCAGAGGGUGACUCAGAUGGCCAAGCUCUGGCUCCCAAAUGGUGCCGGGGCGAAAGGCGAGGUGACCCCACGCUGCGCUCGGCCGUGCCGCUCCCGGCCUUUAGCCGAGGAAGGGGAGUUAAAAACGCUUAA
rnacentral:lncRNA from 1 species